rnacentral:rRNA from 1 species
GAAGUAAAAGUCGUAACAAGGUUUCCGUAGGUGAACCUGCGGAAGGAUCAUUAUCGAGUUUUGAAACGGGUUGUAGCUGGCCUUCCGAGGCAUGUGCACGCCCUGCUCAUCCGCUCUACACCUGUGCACUUACUGUGGGUUUCAGGAGCUUCGAAGCGGGAGUCGGUCUUUCAAGACUGGCUGUCGCCGAGGAGUGACUGGGCCUGCGUUUACUACAAACACUUAUAAAGUAACAGAAUGUGUAUCGCGAUGUAACGCAUCUAUAUACAACUUUCAGCAACGGAUCUCUUGGCUCUCGCAUCGAUGAAGAACGCAGCGAAAUGCGAUAAGUAAUGUGAAUUGCAGAAUUCAGUGAAUCAUCGAAUCUUUGAACGCACCUUGCGCUCCUUGGUAUUCCGAGGAGCAUGCCUGUUUGAGUGUCAUGAAAUUCUCAACCUAACGGGUUCUUAACGGGACUUGCUUAGGCUUGGACUUGGAGGCUCUUGUCGGCUCUUACUUGUAAAGGGUCGGCUCCUCUCAAAUGCAUUAGCUUGGUUCCUUGCGGAUCCGGCUCACGGUGUGAUAAUUGUCUACGCCGCGACCGUUGAAGCGUUUUUAGAGCCAGCUUCUAAUCGUCUCGCAAGAGACAACAUUCAUCGAACUCUGACCUCAAAUCAGGUAGGACUACCCGCUGA